rnacentral:rRNA from 1 species
GAUUCUGGCUCAGGAUGAACGCUAGCUACAGGCUUAACACAUGCAAGUCAGGGGCAGCAUUGGGAUAGCUUGCUAUUCAGAUGGCGACCGGCGCACGGGUGAGUAACGCGUAUCCAACCUUCCUGCCAGUAGGGAACAGCCCGGCGAAAGUCGGAUUAAUGCCCUAUGUUCUUCAAUGCGGACAUCUAAGUUGAAGGAAAGAUUCAUCGCUGGCAGAUGGGGAUGCGUCCGAUUAGCUUGCCGGCGGGGUAACGGCCCACCGGGGCGACGAUCGGUAGGGGUUCUGAGAGGAAGGUCCCCCACACUGGUACUGAGACACGGACCAGACUCCUACGGGAGGCAGCAGUGAGGAAUAUUGGUCAAUGGGCGUAAGCCUGAACCAGCCAAGUAGCGUGCAAGGAUGACGGCCCUACGGGUUGUAAACUGCUUUUAUGCGGGGAUAAAGUGCGGCACGUGUGCCGCUUUGCAGGUACCGCAUGAAUAAGGACCGGCUAAUUCCGUGCCAGCAGCGGC